GUCCAGUUCUAACUGUUGCUUCCUGACCUGCAUAUAGGAUUCUCAAGAGGGGAGAAAUUAAUGUCUCUAGCAAGGCAAAUUCCCAGGAGGCUCAAGUCACGUCCACUUUUCUCAGUUUUCCAUGGGAUCCUGUGCAGAUACUGAGUUGACUUUGGCAGAGAAAAGGAGCUUGAAUCUGUCUUCUAUAAUUCAGAAUUUCUGUAACUAGCCAUGUGGAGUGUCUUGUGCAAUCUUGGAGUAACUAGUGUUUCCCCAGAAUUCACUGAAGGCACCAGAUUGUAGCCUUCCUUAUAUGAGAACCCAUGAAACCCUGAAGGACUUUUUGUCCCAGCCAUUGUUCAUACCUUUUCAUUGGAACAGAAUAAAUAAAAUUGGAACAGAUGAAUAUUUGAUACCAGAGAGGGAAAGGGAGGGAGAGCUAUGAAAGUUUGAAAAGAUACGUUAAAAGUAAAAGUGACUUAAAUGAAGGUAUAGACUACGCCUGUGGGAUAGAUUUCUGUGACUGUGUAUUUGUUCCUCUCAGUAGUUAUUGCCUUUGAGCAAUUGUUGAAAGUAGUCAGAUGUUCUCUCUCUAGUGUAACUAUUGGGCUUUGAUUAAAUUAAAUUGAUUGUAAAGUUCUCUCUUAGGUCUGAGGAUGGUCAGGAAAGCUGUGCAGCCUGAGCUGGGAGCUGGCAUGCAAUCUAGUUCUGUACUUGGUCAUCAAUGCCUUUCUCUUAGUGUUUUUAAAAAAUCUCUCUUGACAGAGUUUUUAUUGUAUAACCGGAAUAUUCCUGGAGUCCCAUCUGGCUCAGUAUUUGCAUGAUGUUGGCUUUCUUCUCUGAACCCAAUGAUGGAGAUGUCACAGGAAAAACAGACAGGGACGCAGCAGCAUCAAGCAGAAGUGGCAGGGCGGUGCCAGGGCAACCCCAGAAACAAAGUUCCAUUGCUAUCACGAAGGCUGUUUUUUCCUCCUCUACUAUGUUUUCUGAUUGUUACUAAAGGAACACAAUGAGACCUCUUUGGUGGAUUAUUAAAAAAAAAUGAAGAAUAGUUUAUACACGAUAAAAUGCACAGAUCUUAAGUGUUCAGCUUGGUAGGUGUGAUAAUUGUUUGCCUCUGUAUAACCACCCGCACAAACCAUAG
rnacentral:lncRNA from 1 species